rnacentral:rRNA from 1 species
GAUGAACGCUGGCGGCGUGCUUAACACAUGCCAGUCGAACGGAAAGGCCAGUGCUUGCACUGGUACUCGAGUGGCGAACGGGUGAGUAACACGUGGGUGAUCUGCCCUGCACUUCGGGAUAAGCCUAGGAAACUGGGUCUAAUACCGGAUAGGACAAUGGUUUGGAUGCCGUUGUGGAAAGUUUUUUCGGUGUGGGAUGAGCUCGCGGCGUAUCAGCUUGUUGGUGGGGUAAUGGCCUACCAAGGCGUCGACGGGUAGCCGGCCUGAGAGGGUGUACGGGGACAUUUGGAGAGAGAUACGGCCCAGAGUCCUACGGGAGGCAGCAGUGGGGAAUAUUGCACAAUGGGCGCAAGACUGAUGCAGCGACGCGGCGUGGGCGAGGACGGCGUUCGGGUUGUAAACUCCUUUCGCUAGGGACGAAGCGUAUUUGUGACGGUACCGGGAGAAGAAGCACCGGCUAACUACGUG